UAGGAAUCUUGCGCAAUGGGCGAAAGCCUGACGCAGCAACGCCGCGUGAGGGAUGAAGGUUUUCGGAUUGUAAACCUCUUUCAGUAGGAACGAAAUUGACGGUACCUACAGAAGAAGCUCCGGCCAACUACGUGCCAGCAGCCGCGGUAAUACGUAGGGAGCAAGCGUUGUCCGGAUUUAUUGGGCGUAAAGAGCUCGUAGGCGGUUUAGUAAGUCAGGUGUGAAACCUCCAGGCUCAACCUGGAGCCGCCACUUGAUACUGCUAUGACUAGAGUUUGGUAGGGGAUGAUGGAAUUCCUGGUGUAGCGGUGAAAUGCACAGAUAUCAGGAGGAACACCGAUGGCGAAGGCAGUCAUCUGGGCCAAUACUGACGCUGAGGAGCGAAAGCGUGGGGAGCAAAC
rnacentral:rRNA from 1 species